rnacentral:siRNA from 1 species
UGGAGGUGCUGGGUUCGAGAC